AGCUCUGUGGUGUAACAGCACGUCAGAUUGCAAACCUGAAAGAGCAGCCUAACAACUGUCGGAGCUU
rnacentral:tRNA from 1 species